rnacentral:rRNA from 1 species
AACGAACGCUGGCGGCGUGCCUAAAACAUGCAAGUCGAGCGAGAAAGCCCGCAAGGGUGAGUAAAGCGGCGCACGGGUGCGUAACACGUGGGUAAUCUGCCUCAAUCAGGGGGAUAACUAGCCGAAAGGUUAACUAAUACCCCAUAAGCCCACAGGAACUUCGGUUCUCGAGGGAAAAGGGCGGCCUCUGUAUACAAGCUGUCGGAUUGAGAUGAGCCCGCGGCCCAUCAGCUAGUUGGCGGUGUAAGAGACCACCAAGGCUAUGACGGG